GCUCAGUUGGUUAAGCGGCAGACUCUUGAUUUCAGCUCAGGUCUUAAUCUCCAGGUUGUGAGUUCAAGCCCCACACUGGGCA
rnacentral:tRNA from 1 species